rnacentral:rRNA from 1 species
UACGUAGGGGGCAAGCGUUGUCCGGAAUCAUUGGGCGUAAAGCGCGUGUAGGCGGCUUGGUAAGUCUGCUCUGAAAGCCCGGGGCUCAACCCCGGGAGGCGGGUGGAUACUGUCAAGCUCGAGUCCGGAAGAGGAGUGUGGAAUUCCUGGUGUAGCGGUGAAAUGCGCAGAUAUCAAGAGGAACACCAGUGGCGAAGGCGAGUCCCUGGACAACACCUGACACUGAGGCACGAAAGCUAGGGGAGCAAACAGG